UACGUAGGGGGCAAGCGUUGUCCGGAAUCAUUGGGCGUAAAGCGCGCGUAGGCGGCCCGGUAAGUCCGCUCUGAAAGUCCAGGGCUCAACCCUGGAAAGCGGGUGGAUACUGCCGGGCUAGAAUCCGGAAGAGGCGAGUGGAAUUCCUGGUGUAGCGGUGGAAUGCGUAGAUAUCUGGAGGAACACCGGUGGCGAAAGCGGCUCACUGGACCCGAUCUGACACUGAGGUGCGAAAGCUAGGGUAGCAAACGGG
rnacentral:rRNA from 1 species